GUGCAGCAGUCGAGAAUUUUUGACAAUGGGGGAAACCCUGAUCGAGCGACGCCGCGUGGAGGAUGAAGGUCUUCGGAUUGUAAACUCCUGUCAUUGGGGAACAAGGUGCAUACGUUAACUGCGUGUGUAUUGAUAGUACCCGAAGAGGAAGGGACGGCUAACUCUGUGCCAGCAGCCGCGGUAAUACAGAGGUCCCAAGCGUUGUUCGGAUUCAUUGGGCGUAAAGGGUGCGUAGGCGGCGCGGUAAGUCGGGUGUGAAAUCUCGGAGCUUAACUCCGAAACUGCAUUCGAUACUGCCGUGCUUGAGGACUGGAGAGGAGACUGGAAUUUACGGUGUAGCGGUGAAAUGCGUAGAUAUCGUAAGGAAGACCAGUGGCGAAGGCGGGUCUCUGGACAGUUCCUGACGCUGAGGCACGAAGGCCAGGGGAGCAAACGGGAUUAGAUACCCGGGUAGU
rnacentral:rRNA from 1 species